GACGAACGCUGGCGGCGUGCUUAACACAUGCAAGUCGAACGGUGAAGGGACCGGUUUUUGCUGGUUCUGGAUGAGUGGCGAACGGGUGAGUAACACGUGAGUAACCUGCCCCCUUCUUCUGGAUAACCGCAUGAAAGUGUGGCUAAUACGGGAUAUUCUGCGCCUGCUGCAUGGUGGGUGUGGGAAAGAUAUUGUUUCGGUGGGGGAUGGGCUCGCGGCCUAUCAGCUUGUUGGUGGGGUGAUGGCCUACCAAGGCGGUGACGGGUAGCCGGCCUGAGAGGGUGGACGGUCACACUGGGACUGAGACACGGCCCAGACUCCUACGGGAGGCAGCAGUGGGGAAUAUUGCACAAUGGGCGCAAGCCUGAUGCAGCGACGCCGCGUGAGGGAUGGAGGCCUUCGGGUUGUAAACCUCUUUCGCCAGUGAAGCAGGCCUGUCCCUUUUGUGGGUGGGUUGACGGUAGCUGGAUAAGAAGCGCCGGCUAACUACGUA
rnacentral:rRNA from 1 species